CCUGGCUCACGAUGAACGCUAGCUACAGGCUUAACACAUGCAAGUCGAGGGGCAGCAUGGUCUUAGCUUGCUAAGGCCGAUGGCGACCGGCGCACGGGUGAGUAACACGUAUCCAACCUGCCGUCUACUCUUGGACAGCCUUCUGAAAGGAAGAUUAAUACAAGAUGGCAUCAUGAGUCCGCAUGUUCACAUGAUUAAAGGUAUUCCGGUAGACGAUGGGGAUGCGUUCCAUUAGAUAGUAGGCGGGGUAACGGCCCACCUAGUCUUCGAUGGAUAGGGGUUCUGAGAGGAAGGUCCCCCACAUUGGAACUGAGACACGGUCCAAACUCCUACGGGAGGCAGCAGUGAGGAAUAUUGGUCAAUGGGCGAGAGCCUGAACCAGCCAAGUAGCGUGAAGGAUGACUGCCCUAUGGGUUGUAAACUUCUUUUAUAAAGGAAUAAAGUCGGGUAUGGAUACCCGUUUGCAUGUACUUUAUGAAUAAGGAUCGGCUAACUCCGUGCCAGCAGCCGCGGUAAUACGGAGGAUCCGAGCGUUAUCCGGAUUUAUUGGGUUUAAAGGGAGCGUAGAUGGAUGUUUAAGUCAGUUGUGAAAGUUUGCGGCUCAACCGUAAAAUUGCAGUUGAUACUGGAUAUCUUGAGUGCAGUUGAGGCAGGCGGAAUUCGUGGUGUAGCGGUGAAAUGCUUAGAUAUCACGAAGAACUCCGAUUGCGAAGGCAGCCUGCUAAGCUGCAACUGACAUUGAGGCUCGAAAGUGUGGGUAUCAAACAGGAUUAGAUACCCUGGUAGUCCACACGGUAAACGAUGAAUACUCGCUGUUUGCGAUAUACAGCAAGCGGCCAAGCGAAAGCGUUAAGUAUUCCACCUGGGGAGUACGCCGGCAACGGUGAAACUCAAAGGAAUUGACGGGGGCCCGCACAAGCGGAGGAACAUGUGGUUUAAUUCGAUGAUACGCGAGGAACCUUACCCGGGCUUAAAUUGCAGAUGAAUUACGGUGAAAGCCGUAAGCCGCAAGGCAUCUGUGAAGGUGCUGCAUGGUUGUCGUCAGCUCGUGCCGUGAGGUGUCGGCUUAAGUGCCAUAACGAGCGCAACCCUUGUUGUCAGUUACUAACAGGUUCCGCUGAGGACUCUGACAAGACUGCCAUCGUAAGAUGUGAGGAAGGUGGGGAUGACGUCAAAUCAGCACGGCCCUUACGUCCGGGGCUACACACGUGUUACAAUGGGGGGUACAGAGGGCCGCUACCACGCGAGUGGAUGCCAAUCCCCAAAACCUCUCUCAGUUCGGACUGGAGUCUGCAACCCGACUCCACGAAGCUGGAUUCGCUAGUAAUCGCGCAUCAGCCACGGCGCGGUGAAUACGUUCCCGGGCCUUGUACACAC
rnacentral:rRNA from 1 species